rnacentral:tRNA from 1 species
UCCUGGCUAGCUCUGUUGGAAGAUCAUGAGACUUAUAAGCUCAGGGUAGUGGGUUCGUGUCCCACGUUGGGUG